rnacentral:rRNA from 1 species
CCUACGGGUGGCAGCAGUGGGGAAUAUUGGGCAAUGGGCGCAAGCCUGACCCAGCAACGCCGCGUGAAGGAAGAAGGCUUUCGGGUUGUAAACUUCUUUUCUCAGGGACGAAGCAAGUGACGGUACCUGAGGAAUAAGCCACGGCUAACUACGUGCCAGCAGCCGCGGUAAUACGUAGGUGGCAAGCGUUAUCCGGAUUUACUGGGUGUAAAGGGCGUGUAGGCGGGAAAGCAAGUCAGAUGUGAAAACCACGGGCUCAACCUGUGGCCUGCAUUUGAAACUGUUUUUCUUGAGUACUGGAGAGGCAGACGGAAUUCCUAGUGUAGCGGUGAAAUGCGUAGAUAUGACGAAGAACCCCGAUUGCGAAGGCAGCUUGCUGCAGCGGAACUGACGCUGAUGCUCGAAAGCGCGGGUAUCGAACAGGAUUAGAUACCCGAGUAGUC